rnacentral:rRNA from 1 species
UGGGGAAUAUUGGACAAUGGGCGAAAGCCUGAUCCAGCCAUGCCGCGUGAGUGAAGAAGGCCUUCGGGUUGUAAAGCUCUUUUAGUCGGAAAGAAAGAGUUGCAAUGAAUAAUUAUGAUUCAUGACGGUACCGACAGAAAAAGCACCGGCUAACUACGUGCCAGCAGCCGCGGUAAUACGUAGGGUGCGAGCGUUAAUCGGAAUUACUGGGCGUAAAGGGUGCGCAGGCGGUUUUGUAAGUCAGAUGUGAAAUCCCCGGGCUUAACCUGGGAAUUGCGUUUGAAACUGCAAGACCAGAGUGCAGCAGAGGGGAGUGGAAUUCCAUGUGUAGCAGUGAAAUGCGUAGAGAUGUGGAAGAACACCGAUGGCGAAGGCAGCUCCCUGGGUUGACACUGACGCUCAUGCACGAAAGCGUGGGGAUCAAACA